AGAGUUUGAUCCUGGCUCAGGGCGAACGCUAGCGGCGCGCCUAACACAUGCAAGUCGUGCGGGAAAGGGCUUCGGCCCUAGUACCGCGGCAGACGGGUGAGUAACACGUGAGCAACCUGUCCCCGGGUCUGGGAUAACCACCCGAAAGGGUGGCUAAUACCGGAUAAAGUCACCGGGCGCAAGCUCGGUGAUGAAAGGGGGCCUCUGCAUAGCAAGCUCCUGCCUGGGGAGGGGCUCGCGGCCCAUCAGCUAGUUGGUGGGGUAACGGCCCACCAAGGCUAUGACGGGUAGCCGGCCUGAGAGGGUGGUCGGCCACACGGGCACUGAGACACGGGCCCGACUCCUACGGGAGGCAGCAGUGGGGAAUCUUGGGCAAUGGGCGAAAGCCUGACCCAGCGACGCCGCGUGGGGGAAGAAGGCCUUCGGGUCGUAAACCCCUGUUCUGGGGGAAGAACCCUGAACGGGUUAAUAGCCCGUUCAGGCUGACGGUACCCCAGGAGAAAGCCACGGCUAACUGCGUGCCAGCAGCCGCGGUAAUACGCAGGUGGCGAGCGUUGCCCGGAAUCACUGGGCGUAAAGGGUGCGUAGGCGGCAGGGCAAGUCGCGGGUUAAAGCCCGGGGCUCAACCCCGGAAAGGCCUGCGAUACUGCCUUGCUUGAGGGCCGGAGAGGCUGGCGGAAUUCCCGGUGUAGGGGUGAAAUCCGUAGAUAUCGGGAGGAACACCGGUGGGGAAGCCGGCCAGCUGGACGGUUCCUGACGCUGAGGCACGAAAGCGUGGGGAGCAAACCGGAUUAGAUACCCGGGUAGUCCACGCCGUAAACGAUGGGUGCUAGGUCUGGGGAGGAAACUCUCUGGGCCGAAGCUAACGCGUUAAGCACCCCGCCUGGGGAGUACGGCCGCAAGGCUGAAACUCAAAGGAAUUGACGGGGGCCCGCACAAGCGGUGGAGCACGUGGUUUAAUUCGAUGCAAAGCGAAGAACCUUACCUGGGCUUGACAUGCCAGGGUUGUGCCCCGGUGGAAACACUGGGGGAGCGUGGGUUUUUACUCACGCGCUCUGGCACAGGUGCUGCAUGGCUGUCGUCAGCUCGUGCCGUGAGGUGUUGGGUUAAGUCCCGCAACGAGCGCAACCC
rnacentral:rRNA from 1 species